AGUGAGCGCUGGCGGUAGGCCUAACACAUGCAAGUCGAACGGCAGCACAGUAAGAGCUUGCUCUUACGGGUGGCGAGUGGCGGACGGGUGAGGAAUACAUCGGAAUCUACUUUUUCGUGGGGGAUAACGUAGGGAAACUUACGCUAAUACCGCAUACGACCUACGGGUGAAAGCAGGGGAUCUUCGGACCUUGCGCGAUUGAAUGAGCCGAUGUCGGAUUAGCUAGUUGGCGGGGUAAAGGCCCACCAAGGCGACGAUCCGUAGCUGGUCUGAGAGGAUGAUCAGACACACUGGAACUGAGACACGGUCCAGACUCCUACGGGAGGCAGCAGUGGGGAAUAUUGGACAAUGGGCGCAAGCCUGAUCCAGCCAUACCGCGUGGGUGAAGAAGGCCUUCGGGUUGUAAAGCCCUUUUGUUGGGAAAGAAAAGCAGCAGGUUAAUACCCCGCUGUUCUGACGGUACCCAAAGAAUAAGCACCGGCUAACUUCGUG
rnacentral:rRNA from 1 species